rnacentral:misc_RNA from 1 species
GAUGAAGAACGUAGCGAAAUGCGAUAAGUAGUGUGAAUUGCAGAAUUACCUGAAUCAUCGAAUCUUUGAACGCACAUUGCGCCCCCUGGUAUUCCGGGGGGCAUGCCUGUCCGAGCGUCAUUGCUGCCCUCAAGCACGGCUUGUGUGUUGGGCCUCCGUCCUCCUCCCGGGGGACGGGCCCGAAAGGCAGCGGCGGCACCGCGUCCGGUCCUCGAGCGUAUGGGGCUUCGUCACCCGCUCUUGUAGGCCCGGCCGGCGCUUGCCGACACAUCAAUCUUUUUUCCAGGUUGACCUCGGAUCAGGUAGGGAUACCCGCUGAACUUAAGCAUAUCAAUAAGCGGAGGA